CAAACCUGUCCACCACCUGCAUCUCCUAAACCUGCUCCUCGUCCAGCUAAUCAGUCACAUACUCAUGUUGAAAUCCAAAGAAAACUAAACAUCACCAAAGAGACAUUCCAGGCAUGUGGAAGAGGAGGUAGUUCAUGGUCAGCUAUGAUCAAAGAUUUGGCAGUGGCUGUUUUCGGGAGGAAUAUGCUGGCUACACAUGGCUUAUCAGGAAAACCUGGUAAUGCCAACAAAGGAUCACAGCCCAAGCCACUCUUAGAUCCAGUUAAAGUGGAACUUAUUUUAGACACUGUUCAGGGUCGAUUUCCAGAAACACCACGGAAGUUUCUAAGAGCUUCAUUCCGGGAAAAACUAAAUGAUGAACACAAAAUGCUAUCAAGGCAACAGAAGAGGCACUCAACAGAAGGCAC